rnacentral:rRNA from 1 species
GACGAACGCUGGCGGCGUGCCUAAUACAUGCAAGUCGAGCGAAGUUUUUCCGGUGCUUGCACCGGAAAAACUUAGCGGCGAACGGGUGAGUAACACGUAAAGAACCUGCCUCAUAGACUGGGACAACUAUUGGAAACGAUAGCUAAUACCGGAUAACAGCAUUAACUGCAUGGUUGAUGUUUAAAAGUUGGUUUUGCUAACACUAUGAGAUGGCUUUGCGGUGCAUUAGCUAGUUGGUGGGGUAAAGGCCUACCAAGGCGACGAUGCAUAGCCGACCUGAGAGGGUGAUCGGCCACACUGGGACUGAGACACGGCCCAGACUCCUACGGGAGGCAGCAGUAGGGAAUCUUCCGCAAUGGGCGAAAGCCUGACGGAGCAACGCCGCGUGAGUGAAGAAGGAUUUCGGUUCGUAAAGCUCUGUUGUUAGGGAAGAAUGAUUGUGUAGUAACUAUACACAGUAGAGACGGUACCUAACCAGAAAGCCACGGCUAACUACGUG